rnacentral:rRNA from 1 species
UACGUAGGGUGCGAGCGUUAAUCGGAAUUACUGGGCGUAAAGCGUGCGCAGGCGGUUCGUUGUGUCGGUGGUGAAAGCCCCGGGCUCAACCUGGGAAUGGCCAUGGAAACUGGCGAACUGGAGUGUGGCAGAGGGGGGUGGAAUUCCGCGUGUAGCAGUGAAAUGCGUAGAUAUGCGGAGGAACACCGAUGGCGAAGGCAAUCCCCUGGACCUGUACUGACGCUCAUGCACGAAAGCGUGGGGGAGCAAACAGG